GAUGAACGCUGGCGGCGUGCCUAAUACAUGCAAGUCGAGCGAACGGACGAGAAGCUUGCUUUUCUGAUGUUAGCGGCGGACGGGUGAGUAACACGUGGAUAACCUACCUAUAAGACUGGGAUAACUUCGGGAAACCGGAGCUAAUACCGGAUAAUAUUUUGAACCGCAUGGUUCAACAGUGAAAGACGGUCUUGCUGUCACUUAUAGAUGGAUCCGCGCUGCAUUAGCUAGUUGGUAAGGUAACGGCUUACCAAGGCAACGAUGCAUAGCCGACCUGAGAGGGUGAUCAGCCACACUGGAACUGAGACACGGUCCAGACUCCUACGGGAGGCAGCAGUAGGGAAUCUUCGGCAAUGGGCGAAAGCCUGACGGAGCAACGCCGCGUGAGUGAUGAAGGCCUUCGGAUCGUAAAACUCUGUUAUUAGGGAGGAACAUAUGUGUAAGUAACUGUGCACAUCUUGACGGUACCUAAAGAGAAAGCCACGGCUAACUACGUG
rnacentral:rRNA from 1 species